GAUGAACGCUAGCGGCAAGCUUAAUACAUGCAAGUCGAGGGGCAGCGCAGUGUAGCAAUACAUGGGCGGCGACCGGCAAACGGGUGCGGAACACGUACAGAACCUUCCUUCGAGCGGGGAAUAGCCCAGAGAAAUUUGGAUUAAUACCCCAUAGUAUAUUGGAGUGGCAUCACUCUGAUAUUAAAGAUUUAUCACUUGAAGAUGGCUGUGCGGCUGAUUAGAUAGUUGGCGGGGUAACGGCCCACCAAGUCUGCGAUCAGUAACUGGUGUGAGAGCACGACCAGUCACACGGGCACUGAGACACGGGCCCGACUCCUACGGGAGGCAGCAGUAAGGAAUAUUGGUCAAUGGACGAAAGUCUGAACCAGCUAUGCCGCGUGGAGGAUGAAGGCCCUCUGGGUUGUAAACUUCUUUUAUAUGGGACGAAAAAGGGUCUUUCUAGAUCAACUGACGGUACCAUGUGAAUAAGCACCGGCUAACUCCGUGCCAGCAGCCGCGGUAAUACGGAGGGUGCAAGCGUUAUCCGGAUUCACUGGGUUUAAAGGGUGCGUAGGUGGGUUGGUAAGUCAGUGGUGAAAUCUCCGAGCUUAACUUGGAAACUGCCAUUGAUACUAUCAGUCUUGAAUAUUGUGGAGGUUAGCGGAAUAUGUCAUGUAGCGGUGAAAUGCUUAGAUAUGACAUAGAACACCAAUUGCGAAGGCAGCUGGCUACGCAUAUAUUGACACUGAGGCACGAAAGCGUGGGGAUCAAACAGGAUUAGAUACCCUGGUAGUCCACGCCCUAAACUAUGGAUACUCGACAUAUGCGAUACACUGUAUGUGUCUGAGCGAAAGCAUUAAGUGUCCCACCUGGGAAGUAC
rnacentral:rRNA from 1 species